GGAGUCGGCUGGACGGUCGCCGGCUCUAAAAAUAGAGCGGGAGGAAAGUCCGAGCACCGCAGGGCGGGAUGCUGGCUAACGGCCAGGGGGGGCGACCCCAUGGCAAGUGCAACAGAAAGCAGACCGCCGCUCCUCGUGGGCGGUAAGGGUGAAACGGCGAGGUAAGAGCUCACCAGCGCGGGCGGCGACGUCCGCGGCUAGGCAAACCCCAUCCGGUGCAAGACCAAAUAGGGAGGCGUUUGAGGGCGGCCCGUCCGAGGCCUCCGGGUAGGUUGCUUGAGGCGCCGGGCAACCGGCGUCCUAGAGGAAUGACCGUCGCCGGCUCUUUCGAGCCGGAACAGAACUCGGCUUACAGGCCGGCUCCGUCC
rnacentral:RNase_P_RNA from 1 species